rnacentral:rRNA from 1 species
ACGGGAGGCAGCAGUGAGGAAUAUUGGUCAAUGGGCGGAAGCCUGAACCAGCCAAGUCGCGUGAAGGAUGAAGGUAUUAUGUAUUGUAAACUUCUUUAGCCAGGGGGCAAUAAGGCGUACGCGUACGCCGAUGAGAGUACCUGGAGAAUAAGGAUCGGCUAACUCCGUGCCAGCAGCCGCGGUAAUACGGAGGAUCCGAGCGUUAUCCGGAUUUAUUGGGUUUAAAGGGUGCGCAGGCGGAGGAUUAAGUCAGCGGUGAAAUUUUCAUGCUCAACAUGAAAACUGCCAUUGAUACUGGUCCCCUUGAGAGAUGUCGAGGAUGGCGGAAUGUGAUGUGUAGCGGUGAAAUGCUUAGAUAUGUCACAGAACACCGAUUGCGAAGGCAGCUGUCCAGAGAUCUUCUGACGCUCAGGCACGAAAGCAUGGGUAUCAAACAGGAUUAGAUACCCUGGUA